AGAGUUUGAUCCUGGCUCAGAACGAACGCUGGCGGCGUGCUUAACACAUGCAAGUCGAGUGCGCGCCUGUAGCAAUACAGGUGGCGCACGGCGCACGGGUGCGUAACACGUGGGCAAUCUGCCCUCUGAUGGGGAAUAACCCGCCGAAAGGCGGGCUAAUACCGCAUAAAAUUCCUUGGACUUAUGUUCGAGGACUCAAAGGCGUAAGUCGUCGGAGGAGGAGCCCGCGCACGAUUAGCUAGUUGGUAGGGUAAUGGCCUACCAAGGCUUUGAUCGUUAGCUGGUCUGAGAGGAUGGCCAGCCACACUGGAACUGAGACACGGUCCAGACUCCUACGGGAGGCAGCAGUGGGGAAUCUUGCACAAUGGGCGAAAGCCUGAUGCAGCGACGCCGCGUGGGGGAUGAAGCAUUUCGGUGUGUAAACCCCUUUCGAUCCGGACGAAUGCCUCGCAAGAGGAGUGACGGUACGGAUAUAAGAAGCCCCGGCUAACUACGUGCCAGCAGCCGCGGUAAGACGUAGGGGGCCAGCGUUGUUCGGAAUUACUGGGUGUAAAGGGUUCGUAGGCGGUGUGGCAAGUUGGGUGUGAAAUCUCUGGGCUCAACCCAGAGACUGCUUCCAAAACUGCUGUGCUUGAGUGUGAGAGAGGCUCGUGGAAUUGCAGGUGUAGCGGUGAAAUGCGUAGAUAUCUGCAGGAACACCCGUGGCGAAAGCGGCGAGCUGGAUCACUACUGACGCUGAGGAACGAAAGCUAGGGGAGCAAACAGGAUUAGAUACCCUAGUAGUCC
rnacentral:rRNA from 1 species